AUGUUUUUUUACAGACAUACAAAGAGUCCAAUAUCUAAAAAACUAAAGGAUGCAAGACUACCUACAAUAGCUGAAGCUGAGGAGGAAGAUGAGGUCCAUUCAUUCAGCAUCUCACAAACGCCUAGGGUUGCCAAGUUUUCUCCUAAACUUCAAGUCUCCAAAAUAUACCUGAAAAAGAAUCUACUUGAAUAUAAACUCCUUGCUUCUGAAAUACUGCAUGAACUUGGAGAGAUAUUGCAGAAAUAUGCAGAGUGUAACCGUAUAUACCCUGCAGGAAUUGUAAAUCUUAUGAAUUACAGUUGGCAUGAUCUUAUUGAAGGUGCUUAUGAGUGUGCAACCAAAAAUUCAAUCAAAAACAGUGCCUUGCAAGGAGAUCCCAAAGCGACCCAAAUCAGCAGCUAUUCAAGGGAGGAAUAUCAUAAGGAAAAUCAUCUUGUGAAAGUAAAGAAAGACCACCAUGUUCCAUCUGAUAGCAAUUUACCUGUUGUCAUCCACUUCUCACUGUUAUCCAAGAUCUGCUUAGAAAAUGGUUGGAUCUUUCAACAUCCUCAUUCAAAAAUGGAAAUUCUGAAAUGGAAGACAAUCCUCAGUACUGCUGUGAAAAGACUACAAGAAGCCAUCAUUCAAAUGUAG
rnacentral:lncRNA from 12 species